rnacentral:rRNA from 1 species
ACCGUCCUACGGGAGGCAGCAGUGAGGAAUAUUGGUCAAUGGGCGCGAGCCUGAACCAGCCACGUCGCGUGAGGGAUGACGGUCCUACGGAUUGUAAACCUCUUUUGCCGGGGAGCAAGCGUGCGUUCGUGAACGCACGUCGAGAGUACCCGGAGAAAAAGCAUCGGCUAACUCCGUGCCAGCAGCCGCGGUAAUACGGAGGAUGCGAGCGUUAUCCGGCAUUAUUGGGUUUAAAGGGUGCGUAGGCGGGCUGCCAAGUCAGCGGUAAAAAUGCGGU